UACCCUCACCGGUCGUGCAAGG
rnacentral:miRNA from 1 species